AACGAACGCUGGCGGCAUGCCUAACACAUGCAAGUCGAACGAUGCCUUCGGGCAUAGUGGCGCAUGGGUGCGUAACGCGUGGGAAUCUGCCUUUCGGUUCGGAAUAACUCAGGGAAACUUGAGCUAAUACCGGAUAACGUCGCAAGACCAAAGAUUUAUCACCGAAAGAUGAGCCCGCGUAGGAUUAGCUAGUUGGUGAGGUAAAGGCUCACCAAGGCGACGAUCCUUAGCUGGUCUGAGAGGAUGAUCAGCCACACUGGGACUGAGACACGGCCCAGACUCCUACGGGAGGCAGCAGUGGGGAAUAUUGGACAAUGGGCGAAAGCCUGAUCCAGCAAUGCCGCGUGAGUGAUGAAGGCCUUAGGGUUGUAAAGCUCUUUUACCCGGGAAGAUAAUGACGGUACCGGGAGAAUAAGCCCCGGCUAACUCCGUG
rnacentral:rRNA from 1 species